UGCGGCCCUAAAAGGACAAAAGACGAAAAAAAAUUGAGGCACAUGAUGGUAUAAUAUGCUGUACUUAAAUGUUUUUAUGUCACCAGUCUAAGGAGUUUAUGAAUGUGAUAAUGUAUUGCUAUAUAUCUUUUAAUCAAUAACCCUUUUGAAGUGAUCAAUAACUAACUGCUUCAUCUUAAACAACUGAUAUCAUUGCUUAAUGAUUUGAUGGUUAUCUUUGCUUACUUUUUCUCUUGCCCUGGAACCUGCCUUCCCUCCACACAUCAGAUUUCACCUCCCUGUUCAAUAGAUUAAAAGUAUAAGAAGUUCAGAUCAUUUCCCCAAGACAGAUAUUUACACUGUAGCUUAGUUUCAAAUUUUGCAAAACAUGCUGCUUUCUAAAACUCAAAUAUGAUUAUGUAGUUUUCUUUUUCAUUAGAAUAACAGUUUAGGGAAGAAAUUGCCCUAAUAAAAACUAUACAUCAUAGGUUUAUAUAUUUUAAGUUGCUAAUGUAAUAAUAACACAGUAAAAAGUGUAAAAUUAAGUUGGUGUUGCACCAUAGAAGUGCUCCAUGACAGAAGUCAAACUUGAAUCAAGACCCAAAAUUUAGACCAAAUUUUUCAUUGCAAAGAUGAUGAGAAUGGUCAUUUAGGAAAGGGAAUAGCGUAAAGAGUAACACUGAAAUGGACCACUCAUGAUGUGUUUUCCAAGAGCAGAAAUUAAUCUCACUUAUCUAGAAUUUAGAGUGCAAAGGGUCUGGCAGGUAAACCGGCUGUGCAGCAACGAGGAGCCACAUUCACCUUAUUUAUGUGCUACAGACUCUCCUGCCUUAUAUCAGAACCAAAAAUUACACUGAACAGAACUACUGCUGUGAGCUCAAACCAUCUGAGCAUCUGCCUCAGUGAGCCAUGGUGUAAGUGCAGUUUGUGUGUGUGCUUGAGCUGUGGCAUUUGAAUUCUGAAAUGAUGAUAAAUUGUCUGGUCGAUAAGCCUGUCUUUAUUGAUGAGAUAACUGAAUCACAUAAUGAGUCCGGGCACUGAAGUGAUAACUAGUAUUUAUAGAUUUAUAGAUUCUUCCUGCUCUAAAUAGGUUGAUAAUUUAAAACACAGUAAUUAGGAGGAAUUGACUAGAUCCAAUUGGUCUUCAAAUAGAGCGUUUUUCUAAAAAUCCCACUAAAUUGAAAGUUUGCUAAAAAUAAUACUAAAAUUAGGAGUUGUGUCAACAAAUCCAUUCUCAGGGCAGAACAGAAUUUAAAUGAAAAAAAUCCUAACACAAAGCCUUGGCCUAAAUAAUUGUCAACACCAUUCCUUUUUGCAAAAAUGCUAGAUACAUCAGAAUGUGAUUUAAUUCUUUGCUUUUUCAAGGAGCUAUUUACAGAGUCUGGUCCAUACCAAAUACGCUGGAAGUCUUCAGUGUAGCCCAAUUGAAGGUCAUGGUUAAGUGAUCCAGGCGGUGUAAAAGCACAGGUGUUUGGAUCCUGUCGCUCCUUUACAGCCAGGACCAGCUGUAAAUCAGCAGGUGACAGGAGCAAUACCUCAGCUCUCCUCCUGUGUCAGGUGUCCUCAUGCUGCCUGAGGCUGUGCAGGGGCCUCUCUGUGGUCACACACACACACCUGCCUCUCUGUAGUCUCAUACACACACACACACACACACACACACACACACACCGCCUCUCUGUGGUUUCAUACACACACACACACACAUACCCACUCUGAUGACUUUGAAUUUCCUCCGCUUCUCCGCCAUGUAUCCCAGUGACCCAGAACCUGCACCUGCUGGAAAGAGCCAAGGAUUCACACCACCGUGCCUCGCAUGCAGAGUCAACUAGGUUUCCUUCCAGGAAUAUUUUUACUUAGACAAUUCUUUAUUUUGUUUGUUUGUUUAUUUGUUUAUCUUUCUAGGGCCACGCCCAUAGCACAUGGAGUUUCCUAGGCUAGGGGUCGAUUGGAGCUGGAGCUGCCAGCUGACACCACAGCCACAGCAAUGCAGGAUAUGAACCAGGUCUGUGACCCACACCACAGCCCAAGACAAUGCCAGAACCUUAACCCACUGAGCGAGGCUAGGGAUUGAACCCGUGUCCUCAUGGAUACCAGUCGGAUUGGUUAUCACUGAGCCACAAAGGGAACUCCAGACAACUCUUUUAAAAAUCAAGAAUUCUUUAAGGGAAUUAACUAACAAUGUUCUAAUCAUUGAGAAUUUGGCCUCCAUAGUAAACUCCCUCUGAAUGUUACAGAAGGAGGGCUUUUGGUUGUCUUAGCUUCCUUUGGUGUCUAAUUAAACGGCCAACAGCCAAAAGAUGAAAUUCCUCUCCAGUGCUAGUUUAUAUUUGUAUUCUACCUCUUUCCCUUUCAUCUUGAUCUGUUUAAGCAGGUAGCCAAGUCACAUGGUCCCUUGCCUUGUUGAAGAGGUGAAGUUGUUGGCAAGACAGAAAGCUGACUUUGCUUGCUGACUUUGUUGCUGUUGUAACAACAGUUAUACCCCAAGGCUUCCCCAGGCAGAUGCCCUGGGUCUGGUGAGCAGCAAAACAAAACAAAAACCUGUUUCCCCACAGGAACUCCCUGUCAUAAUGAUUAAUAAUUAGUGCCUUUCACUGUCCCAUGUUCAGGUUUAGAUGAUAAACUGUAGGGCUCCCUGAUAUAAAACUCUGUUAACUCCUGUCCCUCUGUGUAGGCUAGAUUAUGCUGCCCUAAAAGACAAAAUUGCUGUGGCUUUUCCCACUACACACGCUUAUCAGGUGAAUUCUGGGCAGCUGUCUGCCACGGAUUGGCCCAGCGUUCCAGACCCCACCGUCCUAACGUGCUUUUCACCACUGUUAUGGCAGGAAAAGAGAGCUCUUUUGUAUCUUAAGCCAGCAAAUAAAUGAUCCAGCUUAUGGGUCAGAACUCAAUCUACUGGCAAGGUGCGGGGGUAUAGUUUUCCCAUUUUCUGAGAAGAACAGAAUACGAGCGUGAGAAGUCUCACUGCUAGAUAUUCAAACGAGAAGCCGGGGGCUAUUUGUUGUUGUGUUUCAAAGAUGAAAAAUGUACUCUCCAGUGGGCAGAUACAUUCCUUGUCACGUCCUUGGUACCUAGCCAGGAUUCCAGUGACAGUGACUCUCUGAAGACCUUAGUCCCAGUUCUUAGAGUCUAGAUAAGAGCGCUUAGGAGUUCCCACUGUGCGGCAACAGGUUAAGGAUCCAGCACUGCUGCACAUGUGGUACAGGUUGCAUCUGCAGCUUGGAUUCAGUCCCUGGCCCUGGGGGAGUUCUCUUCAUGGCUCAAUGGAAAUGAAUCCAGCUAGCAUCCAUGAGGACACAAGUUCGAUCCCUGGCCUCACUCAGUGGGUUAAAGAUCUGGCAUUACCUUGAGCUAUGGUGUAGGUCACAGACGUGGCUCCAAUCCUGAGUUCUGUGGCUGUGGUAUAGGCCAGCAGCUGCAGCUCCGAUUGGACCACUAGCCUGGGAACCUCCCUAUGCUGUGGGUUUGGCCAUAAAAAAAAAGAAGAUAAUAAAGUUUAAAGUUUUGUUUAUCACUAAACAAGUAAGAGAAUCAACAGCAGACAAGAAAAAAGUUGCAGAUAUGAUUUAAGAUACUUUUAGUCUGAGAACAUUAACAAUAAAAAAAAGUCGUAAAACAGAAAUGCACACUUCAUAAAUGUGUAUGUCUUUAUGCAUAGCCCCCUAACUUAACUGAUAAUCAGGAGGGAAAAAAAAAACUAUUUCAUGCAAAUACAUUAAUGCUUCAUUAGCAUUAUCUGUUGAGAAAAUUAACAAUUUCUUUUGACUGUAGAGAGAAAUUUUAUGUUUCAAUAGAAAACCAUAACACACCUUUUUGGGUUAUCAGAUUCUAGUCCUGUUCAUUGUCUUUGAGCUAUUUUUCACCUCUUUAUAACCUACAUAGUUUUGUCACCUACCUGUAAAUUGGACUGGAUGUUGCUGUUUUGCACAUUUUGUCCAUCUUUACCAAGUUUUCAGUUCUUCACAUUGGGUCCUAUUGUUUUUCUCCCCUCAGUGUGAUCUUGGGAAAAGGCCUAGGGGCUGAUGGCCGUGGUCAGGAGAUCACAGCCCCAUACCUCAGUCCCUGGCAUAGAUAUGCCACCGUUAAUCGAACUAGUCAUCAUCUACUGAAGGACACACUUUAUUUCUAGUUUUUAUAAUGAUUAGAGCACUACUCAUCUAUUUCAUAUUAAGUGAGUUGUGAUUUCAUUUAAGUUGUCAAACUUAUGUGUGUAGUCUUCUUUAUAUCCCUUUAUUAUCAUUUUGAUGAACCCGGGAUCUGUAUUAAGGUCCCCUGUCUCAUUCCUGAUAUUAGCAAUUUGUGUCUUCCCUCUCUUUUUCUUUGUCAGUCUUCCUAGAGGUCCAUCAGUUUUAUUCAUUUUUACAAAAAAAAAUCAAUUUUUGUUUCAUUCCUUUUCUCUAUUUUUUGUCUUUGAUUUAAUUCAUUUAUGCUUUUAUCUUUAUUAAUACCUUCUUGGACUUCCUGUCCCAUGGCUCAGCAGUCAACAAACCCCACUAGCAUCCAUGAGGAUGCAGGUUCGAUCCCUGGCCUGGCUCAGUGGAUUAAGGACCCAGCAUUGCCGUCAUGAGCCGUGGUGUAGGUUGUAGGUGCAGCUCGGAUCCCUCAUUGCUGUGGCUGUGGUGUAGGCCUGCAGGUACAGCUUCGAUUGGACCCCUAGCGUGGGAACCUCCAUAUGCCAUGGGUGUGGCCCUAAAAAGACAAAAGUCAAAAAACAAAAAACACUUUCUGCUUCUUUCAGAUUUAUUUUGCUCUUUUUCUCAUACUUAGAGGUGACGACUUAGACUAUUUAUUUGGAACUUUCUUCUUUUCUAAUAUAAGCAUUUUAGGGCCAUGAAUUUUCAUCUAGUGCUUCUUUAGCUGUGUCCUACAAAUUUUGACAAAUUUCGUUUUUAUUUUAAUUCAGUUUAAUGUAUUUUUUAUUGCUCUUGAGAUUUCCUUCUUAGUUUAUGCACUUUUUUUUACAUAUUUUUAGUUUCAAAGUUUGGAGGUUUUUCUUGUUAUUGAUUUCCAGUUUGAUUCCUUUAUACUCAAAGAACCUAUUCUGUAUAAUUUCUUUUAAAUUUGUAUAAUCCGUUCUGGGGUAAAAUUUCUAUCCACUGAUGGACUUGUGAAGCUAGAAAACAUUAUCUGCACCCAAAAUAUAAUGGCAGGAAAGAUAUGCGAUACCCAUUAUUGAUAUUCCCAUUGCAAAAGGGAGAAAAUGGAAGAGGGAAUGGAGUUACUAGUCACAAGCAGCUUAGAAAUCCAAGUGGGCAAACUCCAUGUGGUCUGAGGGCCUGGGACUCUAACAACCUGGGCUCACAGAUUCACCCUCUGAAUUCCUGAAUCUGCCCUCUGGGUUCCUGGCUCCACCGUUAAAAGUCAUCUUUCAUUUUUUCCUGAAAGGUAGCAGGUUUAUAGUUGAGUAGCUUUAUCAGCCUGCUUCCUGCCUGUAGAAUUUGAGGGGCGGUCUGACAGCUUGGCAUCCUCCUUUGGUUUCGUCGUGUCCAGUUCAGUUCAGUGUUUCUCCGAGAACCUUGUGGGUCUCCCAUGCGUGUCUUAGGGAUUCACUCACUAGACAAAAGACUUCUCUACAAAGCUUUCCUGCCCACUCCCGCAUCUAUUCCUUGUUUAUGCUUAGAAGGCUGAGGAAGUCCACAAACAUGUACCCAUCUUGUCAAAGAGCCCUCCGUGGGAGUUCCCAUCAUGGGCCAGCGGUUAACAAAUCUGACCAGGACCAAUGAGGUUGCGGGUUCAAUCCCUGGCCUCACUCAGUGGGUUAAGUAUCCGGCGUUGCCAUGAGCUGUAGUGUAGGUCACAGAUACGGCUCGGAUCUGGUGUUGCUGUGGCUGUGGCGAAGGCCGGCGGCUAUAGCUCCGAUUAGACCCCUAGCCUGGGAACCUCCAUAUGCCUCGGGAGUGGCCCUAGAAAAGGCAAAAAAAAAAAGCCCUCCGUGUGCUUGAAGACCCUGAUGCUUGAUGAGUGGUGUCCAGCCACUCUCCUGGCUUGCUCUCAGGGAAAGUUCUGACAAGGAUCUCCUAAUUUUAGCAUCAUUUGCAACCUGAGUAGGAUGAGAGUUUCCCAAAUCAUCAAGCCCUGAUUCCUUUCUGCUUAGCAGUUCUUCCUUCAGUGUUACUCUUCCCUCACAUUUUACUUAGGAGUUGCAAGAAGAAAGCAGACAUCCCCUUCGUUCAACAUUCCUUAAAAAUCUCCUCAGCUUCCUAGUGACAAGGACUCUCUGGGACCAAACUCAGGCUCCACUGAGCCGUUGUUCUCACUAGGUUUUGCUCUUGGGAUCCGGCCUUGGCUUAUUUAAUUCAAUUUUAGUAAGAAUCCUGCUGACUCCCUUUAGUGAAAAUCCCCACCCUGAUCAGAUUCCUCAUCCUCAGCCUUGGGCACCUGCCUUCAGCAAAAUUCCUGUCAGGCCACUUUAGCCAGAAUCCCCCUACCCCUGAUGUCUCCUCUUAGUAAGUUUCCAUUCACUGACCCUAGCUGCUCCUGGGCCAUACUUGUGCUUGUGCCUGGAGUUGAGCUGCAGUUGCCAACUACAAACCCUCGUGGUGCUCCCUUGAUGCAGUCAGCCUUACCAUCUUCAAAAAGGGCCAUGAAGACUUGACUUAAACAAUGUCCACGUUCAGGAGUUCCUAUCAUGGCGCAGUGGAAAUGAAUCAGACUAGGAACCAUAAGGUUGCAGGUUCGAUCCCUGGCCUCACUCAGUGGGUUAAGGAUCUUGUGUUGCCGUGAGCUGUGGUGUAGGUCACAGACACAGCUCGGAUCUGGUGUGGCUGUGGCUGUGGUGUAGGCCAGUGGCAACAGCUCCAAUUCAACCCCUACCCUGGGAACCUCCAUAUGCCACAGAUGUGGCUC
rnacentral:lncRNA from 1 species